UGCAAGCUCUUCAACCCUCAUCCGGUUGUGUAUUUCCGGCAUGCCUAGCAGUUUGGUCGGGUCAGCCGUACUGGUUUGCACAGUUCUCUUUCCUUUCGCCCAGCUCUAGGUUGUGUAAUCAGGUAUGGAAAAACCCUCACUGAUGGAACUAAAGCGUCAACAGUGGGCUCGCGAAAGAGAGGAGGCAAAGAUCGACUGGUGUCCGUGGGGUCGGCCAGGAUGUGGUGCACCUCUAAAAUGGCAACGUACCUCCGCUCGUAGCGAUUCACGCCUGACUCCUGCCGACAA